UAUUGACCAUUUUUGAAACCUUAAAAAUUUGAGUUAGUACCUACCUAUAAUCACUAUUUUAAUAUGUUUGGUAAAAUAGGAGAACACACAUAAUAUUUUGAGUAAUUUUUCUUAGGAAAGAAAACAGAUCUCUUUGUAUUGUUUUUUUUUUUUUUUUGCAUGUUUGAUAAGUUAUGAAUGACCUUUAUUAAGACAUAAGUUGUUGUCAGAUUUUUUUUUUUGCAUGUUUGACAAUAGCUUGCUCGUGACUUGGAAUCAUGUUUGAUUCAUACAAUAGAAACAAGCUGCAAGCAAGAUGUUGAUUACAUGUCUAUUGUCGAGGGUGAGGACACUUUUUACAGUUCAUCUAAUUUUUGGGUAGUGGGGGUUUGUUGAGUGAUUUUUGUCAUAAUAUAAUUUGUAACUUUUUCCUAAAAUAGAGACUAUUGUUUUUUUUUGUUCAAAAGGUACGGGAAAAUAUGGCAAUAAAAUAAUGAUUGCAUUCAGUUGUUAUUGUUUCUCAGUAUCUUUGAACUGUAUUUCUGACCAGGACCUCCUAUCUUGUCUGCUUACCAUGAGUUUUUAUUUUUUAAGAUAACAA